rnacentral:rRNA from 1 species
UAAGGAAUAUUGGUCAAUGGACGCAAGUCUGAACCAGCCAUGCCGCGUGGAGGAUGAAGGCCCUCUGGGUUGUAAACUUCUUUUAUAGGGGAAGAAACCGGACUUUUCUAAGGCCGUUGACGGUACCCUGUGAAUAAGCACCGGCUAACUCCGUGCCAGCAGCCGCGGUAAUACGGAGGGUGCAAGCGUUAUCCGGAUUCACUGGGUUUAAAGGGUGCGUAGGUGGGCAGGUAAGUCAGUGGUGAAAUCUCCGGGCUUAACCCGGAAACUGCCGUUGAUACUAUUUGUCUUGAAUAUAGUGGAGGUGAGCGGAAUAUGUCAUGUAGCGGUGAAAUGCUUAGAUAUGACAUAGAACACCAAUUGCGAAGGCAGCUUGCUACACUAUUAUUGACACUGAGGCACGAAAGCGUGGGGAUCAAACAGGAUUAGAUACCCCUGUAGUCC